rnacentral:rRNA from 1 species
AGGGGUGACUGCGUACCUUUUGUAUAAUGGGUCAGCGACUUACGUUCAGUUGCGAGCUUAACCGAAUAGGGGAGGCGAAGCGAAAGCGAGUCUUAAUAGGGCGCAUAGUAGCUGGGCGUAGACCCGAAACCGGAUGAUCUAUCCAUGGCCAGGAUGAAGGUGCGGUAACACGCACUGGAGGUCCGAACCCACUAAUGUUGAAAAAUUAGGGGAUGAGCUGUGGAUAGGGGUGAAAGGCUAAACAAAUCCGGAGAUAGCUGGUUCUCCUCGAAAGCUAUUUAGGUAGCGCCUCAUGUAUCACUCACGGGGGUAGAGCACUGUAAUGUUAGUGGGGGCCAUUGCGGCUUACUGCGGCAUAGCAAACUCCGAAUACCGUGAAGUGCGAGCAUGGGAGACAGACAUCGGGUGCUAACGUCCGGUGUCAAGAGGGAAACAACCCAGACCGACAGCUAAGGUCCCAAAUGACGUGCUAAGUGGAAAACGAUGUGGGAAGGCAUAGACAGCUAGGAAGUUGGCUUAGAAGCAGCCAUCCUUUAAAGAAAGCGUAAUAGCUCACUAGUCGAGUCGUCCUGCGCGGAAGAUGUAACGGGGCUAAGCACGUAACCGAAGCUUCGGAUAUGCACUUUGUGCAUAUGGUAGAGGAGCGUUCUGUAAGUCUGCGAAGGUGUUCUGUAAGGAAUGCUGGAGAUAUCAGAAGUGCGAAUGCUGACAUGAGUAGCGAUAAAGGGGGUGAAAAGCCCCCUCGCCGAAAACCCAAGGUUUCCUGCGCAACGUUCAUCGGCGCAGGGUGAGUCGGCCCCUAAGGUGAGGCAGAGAUGCGUAGCUGAUGGGAAACGGGUCAAAAUUCCCGUACUUUCGUUUACUGCGAUGUGGGGACGGAGAAGGUUAGGUGAGCCGGGUGUUGGAUGUCCCGGUUUAAGUGUGUAGGCAGAUCCCUUAGGCAAAUCCGGGGGGUUAAUGCCGAGACACGAUGACGGUGCUCCAUUGGAGCCGAAGUCACUGAUACCAAGCUUCCAAGAAAAGCCACUAAGCUUCAGGUAAACGAGAACCGUACCGCAAACCGACACAGGUGGGUAGGAUGAGAAUUCUAAGGCGCUUGAGAGAACUCGGGUGAAGGAACUCGGCAAAUUAGCACCGUAACUUCGGGAGAAGGUGCGCCCCGGUAGGUUGUAGCGAUUUACUCGCGAAGGCCGAUGGGGUUGCAGUGAAAUGGUGGCUGCGACUGUUUAAUAAAAACACAGCACUCUGCAAACACGAAAGUGGACGUAUAGGGUGUGACGCCUGCCCGGUGCCGGAAGGUUAAUUGAUGGGGUGCAAGCUCUUGAUCGAAGCCCCGGUAAACGGCGGCCGUAACUAUAACGGUCCUAAGGUAGCGAAAUUCCUUGUCGGGUAA